GCAGUAGCCGCGGGAAUACAGAGGGUGCGAGCGUUAAUCGGAUUUACUGGGCGUAAAGCGUGCGUAGGCGGCUUCUUAAGUCGGAUGUGAAAUCCCUGAGCUUAACUUAGGAAUUGCAUUCGAUACUGGGAAGCUAGAGUAUGGGAGAGGAUGGUAGAAUUCCAGGUGUAGCGGUGAAAUGCGUAGAGAUCUGGAGGAAUACCGGUGGCGAAGGCGGCCCCCUGGACAAAGACUGACGCUCAGGUGCGAAAGCGUGGGGAGCAAACAGGAUUAGAUACCCCUGUAGUCCCUGUCUCUUAUAA
rnacentral:rRNA from 1 species